UACGGGGGGGGCAAGCGUUGUUCGGAAUUACUGGGCGUAAAGGGCUCGUAGGCGGCCAACUAAGUCAGACGUGAAAUCCCUCGGCUUAACCGGGGAACUGCGUCUGAUACUGGAUGGCUUGAGUUCGGGAGAGGGAUGCGGAAUUCCAGGUGUAGCGGUGAAAUGCGUAGAUAUCAUCUGGAACGCCAAUGGUGAAAACAGCUCGCUGGGGGUUUGCAGACGCUGAGACACGAAAGCCAGGGGAGCGAACGGG
rnacentral:rRNA from 1 species